CCUACGGGAGGCAGCAGUGGGGAAUAUUGCACAAUGGGGGAAACCCUGAUGCAGCGACGCCGCGUGAGUGAAGAAGUAAUUAGUUACGUAAAGCUCUAUCAGCAGGGAAGAAAAUGACGGUACCUGAAGAAAAAGCAUAGGCUACCUCCGUGCCAGCAUCCGCGGUACUACGUAGGAUGCGAGCGUUAUCCGGAUUUAUUGGGUUUAACGGGUACGUAGGCGGAAUGCCAAGUCAGCGGUAAAAUCGCGGGGCUCACCCUCGCGCCGCCGUUGAAAAUGGCGUUCUUGAGUGGGAGAGAAGUAUGCGGAAUGCGUGGUGUCGCGGUGAAAUGCAUAGAUAUCACGCAGAACUCCGAUUGCGAAGGCAGCAUACCGGCGCCCAACUGACGCUGAAGCACGAAAGCGUGGGUAUCGAACAGGAUUAGAUACCCUUGUAGUC
rnacentral:rRNA from 1 species